rnacentral:piRNA from 1 species
UAGUAAGUGGUGAAAACUCAA